rnacentral:lncRNA from 1 species
UAUAGCAAAAUAUCUAGUAAAAAAUGAAGAAAUAAAAAUUGAUAAUGAUAUAUGCCCAGACCUACCAAGAAGUUUAAUAAAUAGUAAAAAUAUAGCAGAAAAAGAAAUAAUAAUAGGAAUGAGAAACAUAAAAAUAGAAUUUGAAGUAAGGGAAGAAAUGCAAAAAGCAGACAUAAUAUUAAGAAUAAAAUGGCUAGAACAAGUAAAACCAUAUAAUAUAGAACAUACACAAUUAACCUUAACAUAUAAUAGAGAGAAAUUAUUCUUAAGAAGAGCCUUAACAUAAAAUGAAAAUAUAUGUAUUAAUGAAGAUAGUAGUAGAAGGAUAUUACAGUAGAUAUUAUACGCCUA